rnacentral:rRNA from 1 species
CAGUAGCCGCGGGAAUACGGAGGGAGCUAGCGUUGUUCGGAAUUACUGGGCGUAAAGCGCACGUAGGCGGCUUUGUAAGUUAGAGGUGAAAGCCUGGGGCUCAACUCCAGAAUUGCCUUUAAGACUGCAUCGCUUGAACGUCGGAGAGGUGAGUGGAAUUCCGAGUGUAGAGGUGAAAUUCGUAGAUAUUCGGAAGAACACCAGUGGCGAAGGCGGCUCACUGGACGACUGUUGACGCUGAGGUACGAAAGCGUGGGGAGCAAACAGGAUUAGAUACCCCAGUAGUCCCUGUCUCUUAUAC